UGGGGAAUAUUGCACAAUGGGCGCAAGCCUGAUGCAGCCAUGCCGCGUGUGUGAAGAAGGCCUUCGGGUUGUAAAGCACUUUCAGCGGGGAGGAAGGCGUUAAGGUUAAUAACCUUGGCGAUUGACGUUACCCGCAGAAGAAGCACCGGCUAACUCCGUGCCAGCAGCCGCGGUAAUACGGAGGGUGCAAGCGUUAAUCGGAAUUACUGGGCGUAAAGCGCCCGCAGGCGGUCUGUCAAGUCGGAUGUGAAAUCCCCGGGCUCAACCUGGGAACUGCAUUCGCAGCUUGCAGGCUAGAGUCUUGUAGAGUGCGGUAGAAUUCCCGGUGUAGCGGUGAAAUGCGUAGAGAUCUGGAAGAAUACCUGUGGCGACAGCGGCCCCCUGGACCAAGACUAACGCUCAGGUGCGAAAGCGUGGGGAGCAAGCUGG
rnacentral:rRNA from 1 species